UGGGGAAUAUUCCGCAAUGGACGAAAGUCUGACGGAGCAACGCCGCGUGAGUGAUGAAGGUUUUCGGACUGUAAAGCUCUGUUGAUUAGGACGAAAGUGCCUGUUGCGAACAGUUACAGGUAUUGACGGUACUAAACGAGGAAGCCACGGCUAACUACGUGCCAGCAGCCGCGGUAAUACGUAGGUGGCAAGCGUUGUCCGGAAUUAUUGGGCGUAAAGAGCAUGUAGGCGGAGAUUUAAGUCUGUUGUGAAAAUGCGGGGCUCAACCCCGUAUUGCGAUGGAAACUGAAUAUCUUGAGUGCAGGAGAGGAAAGGGGAAUUCCCAGUGUAGCGGUGAAAUGCGUAGAUAUUGGGAGGAACACCAGUGGCGAAGGCGCCUUUCUGGACUGUGUCUGACGCUGAGAUGCGAAAGCCAGGGUAGCGAACG
rnacentral:rRNA from 1 species